rnacentral:lncRNA from 1 species
AUGAGGUGGGGAAGGAAUUUUAACACCGGACCUUCCUGAAUGAGGGUCCCCUUGCUUCUGAUAAGAGUCUGACUUUCAAGUUCCAGUCUUGUCUGGUCCUUGGGUUCCGUGGGAGGAGCAUCUUUGGUUCCGAGGUUGUCUCAGGGUGGACUUCCGGGCCUGGUGGCUGGGCUCUGUCAACUGUCUCCUACUGGGAAGUUACCGCACAGAGGUGUGAUUUUGAGCCCCCAGAGACAAGCCGGAAGAAGAGCAACCCCAGCAGGGGAGGGGAGGCCUCUGCACUGGCUGGCACCCUGAAAGGCCCAAGGUGUUUAAAGCAGGGGGAAAACCAGUUCCUGUUACUCCAUCGUGGUCAGAGGCAAAGUCCUCUUCUUCAGGAAACAAGUUCUUUUCUGUUGGAUCCCGUGACCCAACGUUCUCCUUUGUCUCCUGCUCUCUGGAAGCAACUCUUAGUCUCGUCUGCAGGCUCAUCUCCUCCGGCAGCCAUUGACUGUGGGAGUUCCUCCAUCACUCAGAGCUGUCUUCUCGCCUCCCGCUCUGUAAUGGCUCCCUGUUGACUCGUCCAUACCCAGGGCUUCGGAACCCACCUAUAUCACAGAUUAGAUUCCUGGGCCAAAGCGCCUGUCACAGAUUCCAGCUGCCUCUUUGACCACACAACUUGAAUGUCUCUAAGCAUCCCAGACUCAACAGGUCUGAAAGGAAUUCAUCAUCUUUCCUCACAUGUGAUCCUCUUCUUACUUUAUAACCAGUUGUGAAGUCAAAACCCGAGUAUCUGCUUUGACACUUCCCUCCCCAUCCCCCCAGAUCAAACCCACUGCCAAGUCUCGCUGAUCCUUCUUCAGAAAGAUCUCUAGUGCCUGUCCCCUCCUCUCCGCCUGUACUCUGGUCCAGGUGGUGAGUCCUAACUGGUCUCCACCAUCUCUUCCUAGUUUGAUCUCUGCUGCAGCCAAUAGUGAUUUUU